AACGCACAUUGCGCCCAUUAGUACUCUAGUGGGCAUGCCUGUUCGAGCGUCAUUUCAACCCUUAAGCCUAGCUUAGUGUUGGGAGCCUACUGCUUUUGCUAGCUGUAGCUCCUGAAAUACAACGGCGGAUCUGCGAUAUCCUCUGAGCGUAGUAAUUUUUAUCUCGCUUUUGACUGGAGUUGCAGCGUCUUUAGCCGCUAAACCCCCCAAUUUUUAAUGGUUGACCUCGGAUCAGGUAGGAAUACCCGCUGAACUUAA
rnacentral:misc_RNA from 1 species